rnacentral:rRNA from 1 species
CUACGAGGACGAACGCUGGCGGCGUGCCUAAUACAUGCAAGUUGAACGCAACAAAGACACCAGAGCUUGCUCUACCGUUUUUUGUUGAGUAGCGAACGGGUGAGUAACGCGUGGGUAACCUGCCUUAUAGCGGGGGAUAACUAUUGGAAACGAUAGCUAAUACCGCAUAACAAUAGAGAUUGCAUAAUCUUUAUUUGAAAGUGCCAACUGGUACACUAUGAGAUGGACCCGCGUUGUAUUAGCUAGUUGGUAGUGUAAUGGACUACCAAGGCGAUGAUACAUAGCCGACCUGAGAGGGUGAUCGGCCACAUUGGGACUGAGACACGGCCCAAACUCCUACGGGAGGCAGCAGUAGGGAAUCUUCGGCAAUGGACGAAAGUCUGACCGAGCAACGCCGCGUGAGUGAAGAAGGUUUUCGGAUCGUAAAACUCUGUUGUUAGAGAAGAAUGUUGAUUAGAGUGGAAAAUUAAUCAAGUGACGGUAUCUAACCAGAAAGGGACGGCUAACUACGUG